rnacentral:rRNA from 1 species
GUGGGGAAUAUUGGGCAAUGGGGGCAACCCUGACCCAGCGACGCCGCGUGAGGGAAGACGGCCUUCGGGUUGUAAACCUCUUUUGUACGGGAAGAAGGAAGUGACGGUACUGUACGAAUAAGUCCCGGCUAACUACGUGCCAGCAGCCGCGGUAAUACGUAGGGGACGAGCGUUGUCCGGAAUUACUGGGCGUAAAGGGCGCGCAGGCUGUGCUGCAAGUCAGCUGUGAAAUGUCUGGGCUUAACCCGGGCAUGCGGUUGAGACUGCAGUGCUGGAGUGCUGUAGAGGCAAGUGGAAUUCCCAGUGUAGCGGUGAAAUGCGUAGAUAUUGGGAAGAACACCGGUGGCGAAGGCGACUUGCUGGGCAGCAACUGACGCUGAGGCGCGAAAGCCAGGGGAGCAAACGGGAUUAGAUACCCGUGUAGUCC